rnacentral:rRNA from 1 species
GACGAACGCUGGCGGCGUGCCUAAUACAUGCAAGUUGAGCGCUGAAGGUUGGUACUUGUACCAACUGGAUGAGCAGCGAACGGGUGAGUAACGCGUGGGGAAUCUGCCUUUGAGCGGGGGACAACAUUUGGAAACGAAUGCUAAUACCGCAUAAAAACUUUAAACACAAGUUUUAAGUUUGAAAGAUGCAAUUGCAUCACUCAAAGAUGAUCCCGCGUUGUAUUAGCUAGUUGGUGAGGUAAAGGCUCACCAAGGCGAUGAUACAUAGCCGACCUGAGAGGGUGAUCGGCCACAUUGGGACUGAGACACGGCCCAAACUCCUACGGGAGGCAGCAGUAGGGAAUCUUCGGCAAUGGACGAAAGUCUGACCGAGCAACGCCGCGUGAGUGAAGAAGGUUUUCGGAUCGUAAAACUCU